GGUUACAUCCCUCACUCUGCCCUCCACAGCAUUCAGAGAGGUUACAUCCCUCACUCUGCCCUCCACAGCAUUCAGAGAGGUUACAUCCCUCACUCUGCCCUCCACAGCAUUCAGAGAGGUUACAUCCCUCACUCUGCCCUCCACAGCAUUCAGAGAGGUUACAUCCCUCACUCUGCCCUCCACAGCAUUCAGAGGUUACAUCCCUCACUCUGCCCUCCACAGCAUUCAGAGGUUACAUCCCUCACUCUGCCCUCCACAGCAUUCAGAGGUUACAUCCCUCACUCUGCCCUCCACAGCAUUCAGAGAGGUUACAUCCCUCACUCUGCCCUCCACAGCAUUCAGAGGUUACAUCC